AUAGUUAAUCUUUCUAGUGUUUUUGUUUUAAAGAUAAACACUCUUGUAUAUGAUUUAGAUAUAUAAGGAUAAUUUGAAGCAGCAAAGUAUUUACCGCCUUUGUUCACAAUGGUAUGUAAAAUUACAUUCUCUUUAAAUGUUAAAAAUACUCCUUUAUUCAAAAUCUCUCAAUAUAUUUAGAAUAGUUGAUAAUUGGAAAUAUGACGUUAAUUAUCUUUCUUUGACCUGUUAGGGAGAAGACAACUUAUUCCCUAAGUUGGAUGUUGAAUUAUAUCUUUGUCAUCUUUUCACCAGUUUGCAAUAGGUGACCUAAAUGAUCAAUUUCCAAAAUCAUCAUGUAUAUCACCUGGAUGGGUUAAUCCAUAAUACUCUUUUACUUUCCAUUGACUGGCCUUGGCUCUGGCAAACUGAAUAUUUUUAUCAUUAUAAAUAAACUUUAUGAUAGUUGAAGUAAAGUUUCUGCCUGUCUUUCAGUUAAAUUUUAACUGUUGAAGU